GGGAGCUUGCUCCCUGAUGUUAGCGGCGGACGGGUGAGUAACACGUGGGUAACCUGCCUGUAAGACUGGGAUAACUCCGGGAAACCGGGGCUAAUACCGGAUGCUUGAUUGAACCGCAUGGUUCAAUUAUAAAAGGUGGCUUUUAGCUACCACUUACAGAUGGACCCGCGGCGCAUUAGCUAGUUGGUGAGGUAACGGCUCACCAAGGCAACGAUGCGUAGCCGACCUGAGAGGGUGAUCGGCCACACUGGGACUGAGACACGGCCCAGACUCCUACGGGAGGCAGCAGUAGGGAAUCUUCCGCAAUGGACGAAAGUCUGACGGAGCAACGCCGCGUGAGUGAUGAAGGUUUUCGGAUCGUAAAACUCUGUUGUUAGGGAAGAACAAGUACCGUUCGAAUAGGGCGGUACCUUGACGGUACCUAACCAGAAAGCCACGGCUAACUACGUGCCAGCAGCCGCGGUAAUACGUAGGUGGCAAGCGUUGUCCGGAAUUAUUGGGCGUAAAGCGCGCGCAGGCGGUUUCUUAAGUCUGAUGUGAAAGCCCCCGGCUCAACCGGGGAGGGUCAUUGGAAACUGGGGAACUUGAGUGCAGAAGAGGAGAGUGGAAUUCCACGUGUAGCGGUGAAAUGCGUAGAGAUGUGGAGGAACACCAGUGGCGAAGGCGACUCUCUGGUCUGUAACUGACGCUGAGGCGCGAAAGCGUGGGGAGCGAACAGGAUUAGAUACCC
rnacentral:rRNA from 1 species